rnacentral:rRNA from 1 species
UACGGAGGGAGCUAGCGUUGUUCGGAAUUACUGGGCGUAAAGGGCGCGUAGGCGGCCCGAUCAGUCAGAUGUGAAAGCCCCGGGCUCAACCUGGGAACUGCAUUUGAUACUGCCGUGACUCGAGUCCGGUAGGGGAGUGUGGAAUUCCCGGUGUAGCGGUGAAAUGCGCAGAGAUCGGGAGGAACACCCGUAGCGAAGGCGGCACUCCUGGGCCGGUACUGGACGCUGAGGAGCGGAAAAGCGUGGGGAGCGAACGAGGA